ACCUUAUCACUUUCCCCAAAAUUAGAAUCGAACCCUAGUUCGUCCUCCUCCCUCUUCGAUUCCCCCCGAUCCCCAGCAGGCGACCGCCGGAACCCUAGCUAGCCCUAGAUACACCGCGCCACCGCCAUGGCGACCCUCAAGGAUCUCCUCCCGGCGCCCAAGACGUCGGCGUCCACCUUCUACGACCACAGCAGCGACCCCUGGUUCAAGGAGCGGUACGGCGGGGACUCGGCGCAGGCGUCGGCCGCGGCGAGGCCCGCGGGCGCCGCCAGAACCAUCCCUCCGUACGGGAAGCGGGCGGGGUUCGUGCCGCGCCGGCCGGAGGACUUUGGGGAUGGCGGCGCCUUCCCGGAGAUCCAUGUCGCGCAGUAUCCACUCGGCAUGGGCCGCCGCGACGACAAGGGCGGGUCCAAGAUCCUCGCGCUCACCGUCGACGCGCACGGGAGCGUCGCCUUCGACGCCGUCGUCAAGCAGGGCGAGAACGCCGGCAAGAUCGUCUACUCCAAGCACAGCGACCUCGUGCCGAAGAUCGCCACGUCCGAUUCGCAGGCGCCGGACGAGGAGGAGGAGGAGCAGAAGCAGAUCGAGGAGACCACAGAGCGGACGAAGGCUGCCUUGGAGAAGGUUGUCAACGUCCGCCUCUCAGCUGCUCAGCCCAAGAAUGUGCCGACACAUGAUUCUGAGUCCAAGUUUAUCAAGUAUAAGCCGUCUCAGCAAUCAGCGGCCUUCAAUUCAGGUGCCAAGGAGAGGAUCAUUCGGAUGUCGGAGAUGGCGGUGGAUCCUCUUGAGCCGCCAAAGUUCAAGCACAAGCGUGUGCCCCGGGCGUCUGGGUCACCACCUGUGCCGGUGAUGCACUCGCCACCGCGGCCAGUUACAGUGAAGGAUCAGCAGGAUUGGAAGAUCCCACCAUGCAUUUCUAACUGGAAAAAUCCGAAGGGUUACACGAUUCCACUUGAUAAGAGGCUGGCGGCUGAUGGAAGAGGGCUACAGGAGGUGCAAAUUAAUGACAACUUUGCAAAGCUUUCUGAAGCAUUGUAUGUGGCAGAACAGAAGGCGAGGGAGGCAGUACAAAUGCGCUCCAAGGUGCAGAGGGAACUGAUGCUUAAGGAGAAGGAGAGAAAGGAGCAAGAGCUGAGGGCUCUUGCACAGAAGGCUCGCAUGGAGAGGACUGGUGGCCCACCCGCACCAUCAGCUUUGCCUGCUGGUGGUGGCAGGGGAACAGUUGAUGCUAUCGAUAAAGACAUGGAUAUGGAGCAACCACGUGAACCGCGUGAGCAGCGCAGGGAGAGUAGAGAAGAGAGGGAAGCAAGGAUUGAGCGUGAUAGAAUCCGUGAGGAGCGCAGACGGGAGAGGGAGAGAGAGAGGAGGCUGGAAGCCAAGGAUGCUGCAAUGGGCAAGAAGAGUAAGAUCACGAGAGACAGGGAUCGUGACAUCAGUGAGAAGAUUGCUCUGGGUAUGGCAAGCACUGGUGGUGCCAAAGGUGGCGAGGUCAUGUAUGACCAGCGUCUAUUCAACCAGGACAAGGGGAUGGACUCUGGGUUUGCCACGGAUGAUCAGUACAACAUCUACUCCAAGGGGCUCUUCACAGCGCAGUCUACGAUGUCUACGUUGUAUAGACCUAAGAAGGAUGGUGAUUCUGAUGUGUAUGGUGAUGCGGAUGAACAGUUGGAGAAGGUUAUGAAGACUGAGAGGUUCAAGCCUGACAAGGCUUUUACUGGUGCUUCCGAGAGGACUGGCAAGCGCGACCGGCCUGUGGAGUUUGAUAAGCAGGAGGAGAACGAUCCCUUCGGUCUGGAUCAGUUCUUGACUGAGGUGAAGAAGGGAAAGAAAGCUGUGGAGAAGAUCGGAGGCGGAGGCACCAUGAAGGCGAGUGGUGGGUCCUCAAUGAGGGAUGAUUAUGAUGGAGGAUCUGGGAGGUCCCGCAUUAAUUUUGAAAGGGGGCGUUGAGGUAUUUGCUCUUCAAGAUAUCUUUGCUGGUUUUCGAUGCUGUAUCAAAUUUUAUCUAGCAUGGUGCCAUAUAAGAAGCAAACUCUUUGAUAAGAAAGGGCUUGAUGUCUAAGCUACAGCAGGUCAUGUCCCUGCCCUACUUGCAAUGUUUUGAGCGGCAAGAAUUUUAAAUACAUGAAUCCUGCCAAACUGUAAGAAUUUUAAUACAUGAAUUACACUGCCUGUGGCCCCUGGGAUAUGGAUGAACUCAAAGUACAGAUUUGUUGCUCUGGCUCGGCAGCUGCCAGAAAGCGAUCGAGGCAGCACAUGCUUGAGACUGAUGAGUAUGUAACAGGAAAUUCAGAAGCCAUCUGGGUGGAUUUGGUAGUGGUUACCACGCCUUACCAGAAGAUGAAAUCAUUAUGCAGCAAUCUGCGCAAUGAAAUUUUUACUGAUAUUGAUAUUCAUAAUCAGCACAUACUUCCAAGAUACGUGAUCUCAUCCAAGCUUCAGUACCAAUCAGCUUUCUGUUGACCUCCCAAAUUUAGCUGCCGCCAUACAUAGUGUGGAGCAGUCAAAUUGACUACGUGCUUUUCUUGUUGCUUGCCCUCCUGCUGGUCCUGCACCCCUUGCUGAUUUGGUGAUUGCUACAGCUGACUUUCAAAAGGAUCUUGCUAGUUGGAAUACCUGGAAACUUCUCUUGUAAAUCUAAAUCCUAUGUGGAUUCCCAUUGCAAUCCAAGUGUCACUUGUGCCAGUUUGCAUGUGGUUUUUGGGUUGAUUCGACGACAUUGUUUGCAUGUGGUUUUUGGGUUGAUUCGA